AAUAGAAUAACAUUUGCAUACAUUUUGGACAACUUUUGUCAAGGAAAAAAACCAUCUUUGUCCACUAUGGGCUAAUGUGAAAUUGAGAUAUAAUCACAAAAUUAUAUAAAUGGAAAGUCAUGAUAAGUGAUCUUUGCAAUCUGAAUAAUAGAUUAUGUUGCAAAUUUGAAACACAAUUUCAGUCCUAUAGACUCCCACAACUAUUUUCUCCAAGGUCUUAAAAAGACGACAAUAAAGAAAUAUACGAUUUAAAUGGAUAAAAACUAGCUUGAAUUUGAUGUACAAAGAUACUUGAUAUAGACUCAAAUCAGAUUCUUUGAUCUGAUGCAAAGAAGAGAUAUAUGUGCAUGUGUCAACUGGUGUUAGCACAUAAAACUAGACAAAAU
rnacentral:misc_RNA from 1 species